AUAGGGGAGCCGCAGGGAAACCGAGUCUUAACUGGGCGAAUUAGUUGCAGGGUAUAGACCCGAAACCCGGUGAUCUAGCCAUGGGCAGGUUGAAGGUUGGGUAACACUAACUGGAGGACCGAACCGACUAAUGUUGAAAAAUUAGCGGAUGACUUGUGGCUGGGGGUGAAAGGCCAAUCAAACCGGGAGAUAGCUGGUUCUCCCCGAAAGCUAUUUAGGUAGCGCCUCGUGAACUCAUCUCCGGGGGUAGAGCACUGUUUCGGCUAGGGGGUCAUCCCGACUUACCAACCCGAUGCAAACUGCGAAUACCGGAGAAUGUUAUCACGGGAGACACACGGCGGGUGCUAACGUUCGUCGUGAAGAGGGAAACAACCCAGACCGCCGGCUAAGGUCCCAAAGUCAUAAUUAAGUGGGAAACGAAGUGGGAAGGCUCAGACAGCCAGGAUGUUGGCUUAGAAGCAGCCAUCAUUUAAAGAAAGCGUAAUAGCUCACUGGUCGAGUCGGCCUGCGCGGAAGAUGUAACGGGGCUAAAUUAUGCACCGAAGCCGCGGCAGCGAUAUGUAAAUAUUGUUGGGUAGGGGAGCGUUCUGUAAGCCUGUGAAGGUGGCCUGUGAGGGCUGCUGGAGGUAUCAGAAGUGCGAAUGCUGACAUAAGUAACGAUAAUGCGGGUGAAAAACCCGCACGCCGGAAGACCAAGGGUUCCUGUCCAACGUUAAUCGGGGCAGGGUGAGUCGACCCCUAAGGCGAGGCUGAAAAGCGUAGUCGAUGGGCAACGGGUUAAUAUUCCCGUACUGGUGGUAACUGCGAAGGGGGGACGGAGAAAGCUAAAUCAUCCGGGCGACGGUUGUCCCGGUUUAAGCGUGCAGGUGGACUGACCAGGCAAAUCCGGUCGGUUGUUAACACUGAGGCGUGACGACGAGCCACUACGGUGGUGAAGUGAUUGAUGCUCUGCUUCCGGGAAAAGCCUCUAAGCUCCAGGUUACCAUUAAUCGUACCCCAAACCGACACAGGUGGUCAGGUAGAGAAUACUCAGGCGCUUGAGAGAACUCGGGUGAAGGAACUAGGCAAAAUGGUGCCGUAACUUCGGGAGAAGGCACGCUGGCAUUAGGUGAAGUGGUUUACCCACGGAGCUGAAGCCAGCCGCAGAUACCAGCUGGCUGCAACUGUUUAUUAAAAACACAGCACUGUGCAAACACGAAAGUGGACGUAUACGGUGUGACGCCUGCCCGGUGCCGGAAGGUUAAUUGAUGAGGUCAGCCGCAAGGCGAAGCUUCUGAUCGAAGCCCCGGUAAACGGCGGCCGUAACUAUAACGGUCCUAAGGUAGCGAAAUUCCUUGUCGGGUAAGUUCCGACCUGCACGAAUGGCGUAAUGAUGGCCAGGCUGUCUCCACCCGAGACUCAGUGAAAUUGAACUCGCUGUGAAGAUGCAGUGUACCCGCGGCAAGACGGAAAGACCCCGUGAACCUUUACUAUAGCUUGACACUGAACAUUGAGCCUUGAUGUGUAGGAUAGGUGGGAGGCAACGAAGUGUGGACGCCAGUCUGCACGGAGCCAUCCUUGAAAUACCACCCUUUAACGUUUGAUGUUCUAACCCGGGUCCAUAAUCUGGAUCGGGGACCGUGUCUGGUGGGUAGUUUGACUGGGGCGGUCUCCUCCCAAAGAGUAACGGAGGAGCACGAAGGUUGGCUAAGCAUGGUCGGACAUCAUGCGGUUAGUGCAAAGGCAUAAGCCAGCUUGACUGCGAGAGUGACGGCUCGAGCAGGUACGAAAGUAGGUCUUAGUGAUCCGGUGGUUCUGAAUGGAAGGGCCAUCGCUCAACGGAUAAAAGGUACUCCGGGGAUAACAGGCUGAUACCGCCCAAGAGUUCAUAUCGACGGCGGUGUUUGGCACCUCGAUGUCGGCUCAUCACAUCCUGGGGCUGAAGUAGGUCCCAAGGGUAUGGCUGUUCGCCAUUUAAAGUGGUACGCGAGCUGGGUUUAGAACGUCGUGAGACAGUUCGGUCCCUAUCUGCCGUGGGCGCUGGAAGAUUGAGAGGGGUUGCUCCUAGUACGAGAGGACCGGAGUGAACGCACCACUGGUGUACGGGUUGUGAUGCCAAUUGCAUUGCCCGGUAGCUAAGUGCGGAAGAGAUAACCGCUGAAAGCAUCUAAGCGGGAAACUUGCCUCGAGAUGAGUCUUCCCUGACCCUUUAAGGGUCCUGAAGGAACGUUUGAGACUAAGACGUUGAUAGGCUGGGUGUGUAAGCGCAGCGAUGCGUUGAGCUGACCAGUACUAAUGAACCGUGAGGCUUAACCUG
rnacentral:rRNA from 1 species